rnacentral:rRNA from 1 species
AUUGAACGCUGGCGGCAGGCUUAACACAUGCAAGUCGAGCGGGGGAAGGUAGCUUGCUACCGGACCUAGCGGCGGACGGGUGGGUAAUGCUUAGGAAUCUGCCUAUUAGUGGGGGACAACAUCUCGAAAGGGAUGCUAAUACCGCAUACGUCCUACGGGAGAAAGCAGGGGAUCUUCGGACCUUGCGCUAAUAGAUGAGCCUAAGUCGGAUUAGCUAGUUGGUGGGGUAAAGGCCUACCAAGGCGACGAUCUGUAGCGGGUCUGAGAGGAUGAUCGGCCACACUGGGACUGAGACACGGACCAGACUCCUACGGGAGGCAGCAGUGGGGAAUAUUGGACAAUGGGGGGAACCCUGAUCCAGCCAUGCCGCGUGUGUGAAGAAGGCCUUAUGGUUGUAAAGCACUUUAAGCGAGGAGGAGGCUACUCUAGUUAAUACCUAGGGAUAGUGGACGUUACUCGCAGAAUAAGCACCGGCUAACUCUGUGCCAGCCGCCGCCGUAA